AGCGAACGCUGGCGGCAGGCCUAACACAUGCAAGUCGAACGAACUCUUCGGAGUUAGUGGCGGACGGGUGAGUAACACGUGGGAACGUGCCUUUUGGUUCGGAAUAACUCAGGGAAACUUGUGCUAAUACCGAAUGUGCCCUUCGGGGGAAAGAUUUAUCGCCAUUAGAGCGGCCCGCGUCUGAUUAGCUAGUUGGUGAGGUAACGGCUCACCAAGGCGACGAUCCGUAGCUGGUCUGGGAGGAUGGCCAGCCACCCUGGGACUGAGACACGGCCCAGACUACCACGGGAGGCAGCAGUGGGGAAUCUUGCGCAAUGGGCGAAAGCCUGACGCAGCCAUGCCGCGUGAAUGAUGAAGGUCUUAGGAUUGUAAAAUUCUUUCACCGGGGACGAUAAUGACGGUACCCGGAGAAGAAGCCCCGGCUAACUUCGUG
rnacentral:rRNA from 1 species